ensembl:lncRNA
GACCGCCUCUACCGUAGCGCUCAGGGCCGGCUCUAGCCUUUUGGGGCACCCCACCUCGUGGAAAAAAAAAACAUUUUAGUGCCCCCUCUGUUGACUGCGGAGAAAAAUGAUCAAGAUCUGCCCAUCUGUGCAACACCCAGAAAAUAAUGAGGCCAUCGAAUGUGCAAAGAACGGGGCCGAGAAGCUAGCCUAGUGUUGGCUAGCUAGCUACAGUCUGACCCACAGGUUCCCACAAGGUCUCCGACUCCAGGAUGGGAAGAUGCUUACAGGAAAGAAACGGAUGAAGACAGAGUCGGAGACAGAGUAAUAUUAAAAAGGGAAGAAAAACACAAUCCCAUUUUCUAAAUUAGCCAUCUAAGGUAUUCACCAUAAUAUAGGUUACAGAUUUGAGUCACCACUCGAAUAGUUAUUUUAUGUUAUUGACUAGGCCUAUACAGUGCAUUCGGAAAGUAUUCAGACCCCUUGCCCUUUUCCACAUUUUGUUACGUUACAGCCUUAUUCUAAAAUUGAUUAUAUAAAAAAACUCAACAACCUACACACAAUGCACUAUUAUGACAAAGCAAAAAUAGAUUUUUAGAAAAUGUAUUAAAAAUAAAAACUGAAAUAUUACAUUUACAUAAGUAUUCAGACCCUUUAUCAGUACUUUGUUGAAGCACCUUUGGCAGCCUAAUGUCUUCUUGGGUAUGACACUACAAGCUUGGCACACCUGUAUCCGGGGAGAUUCUCCAAGUCUUCUCUGCAGAUCCUCUCAAGCUCCCUACAAGUCGGAUGGGGAGCGUCGCUGCACAACAAUUUUUACGUUUCUCCAGAGAUGUUCGAUUGGGUUCAAGUCCGGGCUCUGGCUGGGCCACUCAAGGACAUUCAGAGACUGAAUGUUGUCCUGGAUGUGAGCUUAGGGUCGUUGUCCUGUUGGAAGGAGAACCUUCACGCCAAUCUGACAUAUUGAGCACUCUGGAGCAGGUUUCCAUCAUUGCAGGAUCUCUCUGUACUUUGCUCCGUUCAUAUGGGGCUGCAGGUAGCCUAGUGGAUAGAACGUUGAGCUAGUACCCGGAAGGUUGCAAGAUCGAAUCCCUGAGCUGACAAGGCAAACAUCUGUCAUUCUGCCCCUGAUCAAAGCAGUUAACCCACUGUUCCUUGGACAUCAUUGAAAAUAAGAAUUUGUUCUUAACUGACUUGCCUAGUUAAAUAAAUAGAAAUAUCUCCCUUGAUCAUGACUAAUCUCCCAGUCCUUGCUGCUGAAAAACAUCCCCACAGCAUGAUACUACCACCACCACGCUUCAUCGUAGGGAUGGUGCCAGGUUUCCCUCCAGACGUGACACUUGGCAUUCAGGCCAAAGAGUUUCAUCAGACAAGAGAAUCUUGUUUCUCAUGGUCUGAGAGUCCUUUAGGUGCCUUUUGGCAAACUUGAUGCGUUGUCCUUCUGGAAGGUUCUCCCAUCUCCACAAAUGAACUCUGAAGCUCUGUCAGAGUGACCUUCGGGUUCUUGGUCACCUCCCUGACCAAGCCCCUUCUCCCCCGAUUGUUCAGUUUGGCCGGGCGUCCAGCUCUAGGAAGAAUCUUGGUGGUUCCCAACUUCUCCCCUGACAGAAUGAUGGAGGCCUCCCUGACCAAGCCCCUUCUCCCCUGACUAAAUGAUGGAGGCCUCUGUGUUCUUGGGGACCUGCUUCUGUUUUUUCUUUUUUUAUACAUUUGCAAAAAUUUCCAAAAGCCUGUUUUCGAUUUGUCAUUAUGGGUCAUUGUGUGUAGAUUGAUAAGGAAAAUACAUAUUUUUAUUCAUUUUAGAAUAAGGCUGUAAUGUAACACAAUUUGGAAAAAGUUAAGGGGUCUGAACACUUUUCGAAUGCGUUGUAGAUUUGUUAAAUCUAAUUAAUCAAAUCAUUAAUCUAACAAUAAAAAUAAUAAUAAUUUUGUAAGAAACAAUGUUGACUAAAUUAUUUUGCUCAUCUUUUGUUUGUAGGUAUUUUAACUUGAUAAUGUGUAAUAAGUAAAUAUAUAGAAAUUGCU